rnacentral:rRNA from 1 species
UACGGAGGGUGCGAGCGUUAUCCGGAUUCACUGGGUUUAAAGGGUGCGUAGGUGGGAAUGUAAGUCAGUGGUGAAAUCUCCGUGCUUAACACGGAAACUGCCAUUGAUACUAUGUUUCUUGAAUUUUCUGGAGGUUAGCGGAAGUAUGUCAUGUAGCGGUGAAAUGCUUAGAUAUGACAUAGAACACCGAUUGCGAAGGCAGCUAACUACAGGGAUAUUGACACUGAGGCACGAAAGCGUGGGGAUCAAACAGG